rnacentral:rRNA from 1 species
GAUGAACGCUGGCGGCGUGCCUAAUACAUGCAAGUCGAGCGAACAGACGAGGAGCUUGCUCCUCUGACGUUAGCGGCGGACGGGUGAGUAACACGUGGAUAACCUACCUAUAAGACUGGGAUAACUUCGGGAAACCGGAGCUAAUACCGGAUAAUAUAUUGAACCGCAUGGUUCAAUAGUGAAAGACGGUUUUGCUGUCACUUAUAGAUGGAUCCGCGCCGCAUUAGCUAGUUGGUAAGGUAACGGCUUACCAAGGCAACGACGCGUAGCCGACCUGAGAGGGUGAUCGGCCACACUGGAACUGAGACACGGUCCAGACUCCUACGGGAGGCAGCAGUAGGGAAUCUUCCGCAAUGGGCGAAAGCUUGACGGAGCAACGCCGCGUGAGUGAUGAAGGUCUUCGGAUCGUAAAACUCUGUUAUUAGGGAAGAACAAAUGUGUAAGUAACUAUGCACGUCUUGACGGUACCUAAUCAGAAAGCCACGGCUAACUACGUG